AGAGUUUGAUCCUGGCUCAGGAUCAACGCUGGCGGCGUGCCUAAUGCAUGCAAGUCGCACGAACAUCCUUCGGGGUGUUAGUGGCGAACGGCUGAGGAACACGUGCGUACCUGCCUGUUCGUGGGGAAUACCGGGUGGAAACACCCGCUAAUACCGCGUACGCUCCUUCGGGAGGAAAGCCUUCGGGCGCGGACAGUGGGGCGCGCGGCCCAUCAGGUUGAUGGUGUGGUAACGGCGCACCAUGCCGAUGACGGGUCGCUGGUCUGAGAGGACGGCCAGCCAGACUGGGACUGCGACACGGCCCAGACACCUACGGGUGGCAGCAGCAAGGAAUCUUCCGCAAUGGGCGCAAGCCUGACGGAGCAACGCCGCGUGGAGGACGACGGCUUUCGGGUUGUAAACUCCUUUUCCCAGGGACGAAACGGACGGUACCUGGGGAAUCAGCCCCGGCUAACUCUGUGCCAGCAGCCGCGGUAAGACAGAGGGGGCAAGCGUUGUCCGGAUUUACUGGGCGUACAGCGCGCGCAGGCGGUCGUGUAGGUACCUGGUGACAGUCUCGGGCUCAACUCGAGGGGGUCUGGGUAGACCGCACGGCUGGAGGCAGGGAGAGGGAUGUGGAAUACCCGGUGGAGCGGUGAAAUGCGUAGAGAUCGGGUGGAACACCAGUGGCGAAGGCGGCAUCCUGGCCCUGACCUGACGCUGAGGCGCGAGAGCGUGGGGAGCAAACGGGAUUAGAUACCCUAGUAGUCC
rnacentral:rRNA from 1 species